AGUCUAUGGUGCGGACAACACCAGAGUAGAUCUUUGUACCUCUCCCAAGCAUCGUACAUGCUCUCGUCAUCGAACUGCACAAAAGAAGAUAUGUAAUUUCUCAAUUU
rfam:Ricinus communis cultivar Hale ctg_1100012360437, whole genome shotgun sequence.